UCAAACUUGGUCAUUUAGAGGAAGUAAAAGUCGUAACAAGGUUUCCGUAGGUGAACCUGCGGAAGGAUCAUUAAUGAGAACUUUGCCCUUGCCUAGGGUAGAUCUCCCACCCUGUGUUUACACUACCUUUGUUGCUUUGGCAGGCCCGCCCUUGGGCCGCCGGCUCCGGCUGGCCAGCGCCUGCCAGAGGAUUCAAAACUCUUGUUAUUUAUGCCGUCUGAGUACUAUACAAUAGUUAAAACUUUCAACAACGGAUCUCUUGGUUCUGGCAUCGAUGAAGAACGCAGC
rnacentral:misc_RNA from 1 species